CUCCAUUACACUCGUCUCCAAUCUUGAACCCAAGAGACGUCGCCCUUAAAUUCCAGCCGUCUCCGCUGGCGACACCUCCUCCAAUAACCCUCAUCUUUACAUCAUAGCACCCCUGUGACCCCCUCAUACCUAAUCUAUCACUGGUUUCUCUCGAAUCUGUCCAAAUUCCUUAAAUCUCAAAUCUGAGUUCGAGCCCUAAAAAGUUCAAAACCAGUUCCUGUUGAACGGAUCGCAUGCAUCGACCUAGGCUUGUGAUUCUCAUGAAUAGAGGGUUGAUUCACUACAAAACAUAAGUUAUUCAUUUUUUCUUGAUAAAGAACAAAUGAUCAGCAUCUAUUUCUUGUGAGUCAGGGUAUCAAGCGUAAUUUCGAGUUUAAUCGGUGAGUUUCUAUCCCUCUUUGUGUGCAUUUUGGUUUUAUUUUACCUGUUGUUCUUCUUCUUUUCCUCUCAUGUUUUUUCUUGGUUUGAAACUAGGUCGAUAUUUUGGGUUCAAAUUGUUUCAUGUUCGUAUGUUCCCUCUAUUUCUUUGUUUUCAAAUCGGAAAAAGCUUGUUAGCUGAUCUUCUAGGCCUGUUGGGUUUUAUUUAAAUUUUUUAUUCUCCCUUUUGAUCCUAGUCUUGUUAGUUUGGUUUAAUUAGGUUAAUUUGGAUUUAAUAACUUAGUCAAUUUUCAAACUUAUUUGUGUUAGUGAAUUAGUUUCCUUAGUUCAUAUUUUUAAUCAAGUGGCUUGUGUUCUAUUUAUCCUUACAGAAUUUAGUUGGAUUAAUUAGUGGUUUGGGCUUUGGGUUUCUGACCUAUUUGCAAAAUAAGGGCAGCUCGAUCAUUUAGUUGAACUAUUGGGUCAAUUUGACCCACGACCCAUAUCUGCAUGGGUUCAGGGGUAAAAAAACAGGGGUCUUAAAGGGUAGUCCAGGAAUAUAGGCUGGUGGAAUCAUUAUGUAACAUAAUAGGGAAUCUUCUAGGAAGCUGGGAUUAGGGUUAUUUUGAAAGUCUUAUUUUUGCAUUAAGGUUAGGU
rnacentral:lncRNA from 1 species